AGAGUUUGAUCAUGGCUCAGAACGAACGCUGACGGCGUGCUUAACACAUGCAAGUCGAACGAGAAAAUCCUAGCUUGCUAGGGUGAGUAAAGUGGCGCACGGGUGAGUAACACGUGAGUAAUCUGCCCCUAGGUCAGGGAUAACUCCGCGAAAGCGGGGCUAAUACCCGAUAUGCUCACGACUACUACGGUAGACGUGAGAAAAGGUGGCCUCUGGCAUAAGCUAUCGCUUGGGGAUGAGCUCGCGGACCAUUAGCUAGUUGGUAGGGUAAUGGCCUACCAAGGCUACGAUGGUUAGCUGGCCUGAGAGGGUGGCCAGCCACACUGGAACUGAGAUACGGUCCAGACUCCUACGGGAGGCAGCAGUGGGGAAUCUUGCGCAAUGGGGGAAACCCUGACGCAGCAACGCCGUGUGAGUGACGAAGGCUUUCGGGUCGUAAAGCUCUGUCAGAUGGGAAGAAUUA
rnacentral:rRNA from 1 species